rnacentral:rRNA from 1 species
UACGUAGGAGGCGAGCGUUGUCCGGAAUUACUGGGUGUAAAGCGCGCGUAGGUGGGAGGCCAAGUCUGUGGUGAAAGCGCCCGGCUCAACUGGGCAUGGUCCAUGGAAACUGGUCACCUGGAGGACGGUAGAGGCGAGUGGAAUUCCCGGUGUAGUGGUGAAAUGCGUAGAGAUCGGGAGGAACACCAGUGGCGAAGGCGGCUCGCUGGGCCGGUCCUGGACACUGAGGCGCGAAGGCGUGGGGAGCGAACAGG